AUUGAACGCUGGCGGCAGGCCUAACACAUGCAAGUCGAACGAGUGGCGGACGGGUGAGUAAUGUCUGGGAAACUGCUCGAUGGAGGGGGAUAACUACUGGAAACGGUAGCUAAUACCGCAUACCAUCGGAUGUGCCCAGGUGGGAUUAGCUAGUAGGUGGGGUAAAGGCCCACCAAGGCGACGAUCCCUAGCUGGUCUGAGAGGAUGACCAGCCACACUGGAACUGAGACAUGGUCCAGACUCCUACGGGAGGCAGCAGUGGGGAAUAUUGCACAAUGGGCGCAAGCCUGAUGCAGCCAUGCCGCGUGUAUGAAGAAGGCCUUCGGGUUGUAAAGUACUUUCGGCGGGGAGGCGUUACCCACAGAAUAAGCACCGGCUAACUCCGUGCCAGCCGCCGCGGUAAUAC
rnacentral:rRNA from 1 species